rnacentral:rRNA from 1 species
AUUGAACGCUGGCGGCAUGCCUUACACAUGCAAGUCGAACGGCAGCAUGAUCUAGCUUGCUAGAUUGAUGGCGAGUGGCGAACGGGUGAGUAAUACAUCGGAACGUGACCUGUAGUGGGGGAUAACUAGUCGAAAGAUUAGCUAAUACCGCAUACGACCUGAGGGGGAAAGUGGGGGACCGCAUGGCCUCAUGCUAUAGGAUCGGCCGAUGUCUGAUUAGCUAGUUGGUGAGGUAAAGGCUCACAAAGGCGACGAUCAGUAGCUGGUCUGAGAGGACGAUCAGCCACACUGGGACUGGGACACGGCCCAGACUCCUACGGGAGGCAGCAGUGGGGAAUUUUGGACAAUGGGGGCAACCCUGAUCCAGCAAUGCCGCGUGUGUGAAGAAGGCCUUCGGGUUGUAAAGCACUUUUGUCCGGAAAGAAAUCGCACUUACUAAUAUUAGGUGUGGAUGACGGUACCGGAAGAAUAAGGACCGGCUAACUACGUGCCAGCAGCCGCCGUAACAC